UACGGAGGGUGCAAGCGUUAUCCGGAUUUACUGGGUUUAAAGGGUGCGCAGGCGGAUAUGUAAGUCAGUGGUGAAAUCUCUAGGCUUAACCUGGAAAUUGCCGUUGAUACUAUAUAUCUUGAAUGCUGUGGAGGUAAGCGGAAUAUGUCAUGUAGCGGUGAAAUGCUUAGAUAUGACAUAGAACACCUAUUGCGAAGGCAGCUUACUACGCAGAUAUUGACGCUCAUGCACAAAGCGUGGGGGAUCAAACAGGG
rnacentral:rRNA from 1 species